rnacentral:lncRNA from 13 species
AUGAAGCAGCUAAUCACAGAAUCACAGAAUCAGAAUCUGCUGAGUUGGAAGGGACCCACAAGGAUCAUUGAGUCCACUUCUCUGGCCCUGCACAGGACCAUCCGCAAGAAUCACACCAUGAGCCUGAGAGCAUUGUCCAAAUGCUUCUUGAACUCUGUCAGCCUUGGUGCUGUGACCACUUCCCUGGGGAGCUGUUCCAGUGCCCAACCACCAUCUUGUGAUGAACCUUUUCCUGAUAUCCAACCUAAACCUCUCCUGGCACAACUUCAGGCCAUUCCCUCAGUCCGGUCACUGGGCACCACAGACAACAGACCAGUGUCUGCCCCUCCUCUUCUCCUCAUGGGGAAGUUGUAACUGCAGUGAGGUCUGUCCUCAGUCUCCUCCAGGCUGAACACACCAAGUGCCCUCAGUCACUCUUCAUGCAGCUUCACUUCCAGACCCUUCACCAUCUUUGUUGCUCUCCUCUGGACACUCUCUAAGAGUUUAAUGUUUUUCUUAUAUCACGGCACCCAGACCUGCCCCCAGCACUGGAGGGGAGGCUGCCCCAGAGCAGAGGAGAGCAGAGUGGGACAAUCCCCUCCCCUGCCCGGCUGCCGAUGCUGUGCCUGAUGCACCCCAGGACACAGGUGGCCCUCCUGGCUGCCAGGGUACAAUGACUCACAUUCAACUUGCCAUUGACCAGGGACCCCAGGUCACUUUCCAUGGCACUGCUCUCCAUCCCCUUCUUCCCCAGUCUGUCUGUCUGUACAUCCAGGGAUGCCCCAUUUCAGGCGCAGAACCCAGUACUUUCCCUUGUUGAACUUCUUAUGGUUGGUGAUUGCCCAGCCCUCUGAUUUGUUGAGGUUUCUCUGCAGGGCCUCUCUUCCUUCAAGGGAGUCAACAGUUCCUCCCAGUUUUGUAUCACUGACAAACUUAGUAUCCCAUCCACUCCUGUGUCCAAGUCAUUUUUGAAGACAUUGAAGAGCACUGGCACUAUAAUGGGUCCCUGUGGAAUAGUCCCUGACUAGUGACAGGUCACCAGCCUGAUGUCACGCUGUGGCAUUUAAGUAAAACCUUAUAAAAUGAAGGCCUUGUUGCCUUUGAAAAUUAUGGCUCAGGCCUGUUACUUCAGCUAGAGAAAGACUGUGAGAAAAAGUCUGUGAGAAGAAAAACAAUUAGUUUUUACCCAUGAGAAUGCAGUAUCAACAGAAGCAAGAAAGUUAAACAAUAGAAGGAGAAAACAGCAACAUAUCUGCACCUGUUACUUUCUGAAUGCUUGAAUGCUUAUGCCAUAGGUAGCCAAUGAUAGUAUAUUGUAGAUAAUAAUAGCCAAUGAGUCUAUUGUAGUAGUUUAGCAGCCAAUGAAUAUGUAACACAAAUGAUAACAUACAAAAGGUGUAUAAAAGAGGCUGCUUUGUUUAAUAAACAGCUUUUUGCCCUUUGUCCGAGGCACUGUCUGUGUGUGUCAUGGCCACCCCAACAGCGACAUCUGCCCCAACAGUGACAUCACCCCAUUCCCUAUAACCCUUUCUGCCUGGCCCAUGAGCCAGUUGGUCACCCAUCAUGUUACACAGUUAUCCAGCUGAGUGCUGGAUAUUUUGUCCGGGAGGAUACUGUGAGAGACAGAAUUGAAAGCUUUACUGAAAUCCAAUAUGAAACAAAAAUCCAGUACCUGGAAAUUGAAGCUAGAUCAAAUCAAGCUAGAAAUCAAGUGGGAGUUCUGACAAUGAAGCUAAUUGACUUUGGAACCACUUGUGAAAUAUUGCAGCAGGUUCUACAGAAUUCUUAAUACUCUAAGUCAAGACUAGCUUGUCACUGUUAUUAAGUUUUAAUUAAACAGGAUUUGAUUAAGCAAAGAUCUAAGGCCUGUCGUUAGGCACAAUAUCUAACAAUUCUUUCUGGCUCCAGAACUUAUGAAAUACAUGCUGUAAAAUAAGGUUUAUUUUCAAAUCCAUUCACACAGCAGUAUUUGUUUGCUCUUUCUUGCUGUUACUCUUCUGUGCUUUCAGAAAAUUCGUAGGAGACCAUCUAAUACCAUUUUAGCCACAAAGCAAUUUCCCUCCUGGUGGAAGGAAAUUUCUUUCUUCUCUGAAACACAAUAGAAACAUAAAGAAAAGGAAACCAGUCUCUCAUACUUAUAUUCAUCUUUUUUUUCUUGUAUGGUAUUGUUAACCAGUUCACAAGGCUUCAAGCUAUUCCAUACAGAUUUCAUGGAGUAUUAUGGGGAUGGAAACCAAAAGAAUGAAGAUACAAUCAUAUGCCUGAAGGCAGAGGACAAAAUUCUGCUCUCACUUUACACCUAAACAAACCCAGAGCUACUAUUUCAGAAUCCAUAGAUUUUCCAUAUAUUUCCUACCACAAUCUCAAGGCAAUGUAUAGACCAUCAAACACAAAACAACAAAAAAAAAAAAGAGAGAGAUUUUAAACAUAGUCUUCAGGAGUUACUUCAUACCUGUUCUUGCUUCCCAGCAUCUUCCCUCUCCUAAACUUCCCAAAGUAAACAUCUGUAGUUUUAUGGAAUCCUGAAAUUCUAUUGUGCCAUACAGAAGAUUUUGUCUUAUACUGCAGUGCCAGGUAAACC